ensembl:processed_transcript
ACUGGGGGAGCCCAUCCUGUUUAAGGCAGCAGACUACGUCUGAAGUGACCCCAGAGGGAGGAGCCAGGCUGCCCCAGGACAAUGAGUCCCGGAGUCUACGUGAAGUAAACAUAGCUGCUCAUUCUCAGCGCCAGCUCUCAACACGCACAGAUGGCACAUGCCAAUUUACGGAUAUAAUUUAUAUUACAGACCUUUAUCAAAAAAAAUAAGCUGGAGAACAAUGAGGAAAAUGUUCAGCUUAAGUCUCCUGUACACACACACACCCUACUAUAGUGAAAGGAAGUAGGAAAUUGGUGAAAAUUAACCAAGCAAGAUUUGCAAAGCUGACCAGGGGCCCAUUAAAGCUCACACAGUGCGUUUACUGCUGAGUGGCCCAGAGCGCAUUCAGAAGGAGCUAAGUGGUGCUUUUAGCUUUUUGGCAGAGAAGGGUCAUCUCAGAGGUGGCCUGACAGGCUAACAGAAAUGGUGACUCACUUUCAGAGUGCAGAUAUCCAUGAUAUCAACAGGUCUUUCAUAAAUCACAUCCAUUAUUGCUUUGGACUAAUCUGUUUUGUCAAACAGCCAAGAAAUAUAUGAACCUAUGUUUAGCAUUGCCACCAGGGCUCAUGGGGUUGAAUAAUUAAUACUGUGGAAAUGGCAAUACUGCUCAGAACAUACAAUCUUCAAAUUCAUACCCGAAUCACUGGAGACCCGAGGUGGACAAAGCAACCUUGGGCAAAGAGACAACGCUGGAGGGAUCACCAUGCCUGAUACCAGGUUAGACUACAGAGCCACACUCUAGUGCAGCAUGUGCAGCCUCAGAGCAGGCCACAGCCUGGGUGAACAGCUACACAUGGCCUAGCUCCACCACUCCUGAGCAUUUACCCAAGGCUUCCACAUCACUAUAUCCCAGAGAUAUUUAUUCACUGAAGUACUGUUCACAAUUCUUAGAUUAUGAAACUAUCCUAGAAGCUCAUCAACAGAAGGGUAGAUAUAAAAAAUUUGGUACACACACACACACAAAAUGGAACUUCAGGCAUGAUGUAAGAAAAUAUGUGAAAAAAAUUUGCAUUUACAUUUUUCUCUCUGUAGUUCCUAGGGUUUAUAUAAAUAAAAUCAUGUGUGUAUAACUGACAUGAAAAAUGCAAGUGAACCUGUCUAAAGGAAAGGGAGCUAACAGGAAGGGGAGCAAAUAGGAAGAAGGGGUGUGUGGGUGUGGGGCAAACUCAACAUAUGGUAUACAUGUGUAACAUAACACAACAUAUAGUAUAUGUGUGUAACAUAUACUUAACAUACAGUAUACAUGUGUAACUAUACUCAACAUACAGUAUAUGUAUGUAACAUACAUUCAACCUACAGUAUACAUGUGUAACAUACACUCAACAUAGGUGUAUAUGUGUAACAUACACACAACACACAAUUCAAAGAUUCUCAUGAACAAAGAAGAGCAGAUUUACUUCUUUCUGCUUUUGUUCAGUCUGCUCUUUUAGUUCAUUUUCUUUUUGUUAUUAAGAGUCUAGCUUUUUAAACUGUGGGUUGCAAUUCCACAUGAAGUCACAUAUGUCUAGAAUCCAGACUAGAUUGUAGUCCAAAGUGCAGGAUUGAAAGUGUUUACAAAUUGGAAUUGCUAUGAAAGUUUUAAUAAGGAAUACACACUGUAAACAGAACGUGGGCAGAAAACACAGCAGGGAGGUGGGAGUGGAGAUACAGAGAGAGACAGAGACAGAAAGACACACACACACAGAGAGACAUAUACACACAGAAAAAGACAUAUACACACAGAAAGACAGACAAAAACACACAGAAAAUGAAUCACAUCCUGAGGAGAAAUGGAGUCUUUUCAUAGAAAUUAAGAGAUGUUACCUGUCCUUGUCUCAUAGGCUGUUUGUAUAUAAUUUUAUAAUAUCAUUUCUUAACAAAGAUUUCUCUGCUUGGCUAUACCCUACCUAUCUGAUGUUUCCACCAAGGUAUUUGAAAAAUUAUUUGUAGCUUUCCUUGCUCUGUUACUAUAAAAACCAUCAUAAAGUUGUUAACACGUCAGAAUGUGGUAUUUGGGG